AAAAGAAACCAACAGGGAUUGCCUUAGUAGCGGCGAGUGAAGCGGCAAAAGCUCAAAUUUGAAAUCUGGCACUUUCAGUGUCCGAGUUGUAAUUUGAAGAAGGUAUCUUUGGGUCUGGCUCUUGUCUAUGUUUCUUGGAACAGAACGUCACAGAGGGUGAGAAUCCCGUGCGAUGAGAUGUCCCAGACCUAUGUAAAGUUCCUUCGAAGAGUCGAGUUGUUUGGGAAUGCAGCUCUAAGUGGGUGGUAAAUUCCAUCUAAAGCUAAAUAUUGGCGAGAGACCGAUAGCGAACAAGUACAGUGAUGGAAAGAUGAAAAGAACUUUGAAAAGAGAGUGAAAAAGUACGUGAAAUUGUUGAAAGGGAAGGGCUUGAGAUCAGACUUGGUAUUUUGUAUGUUACUCUCUCGGGGGUGGCCUCUACAGUUUACCGGGCCAGCAUCAGUUUGGGCGGUAGGACAAUUGCAAAGAAAUGUGGCACUGCCUCGGUAGUGUGUUAUAGUCUUUGUCGAUACUGCCAGCCUAGACUGAGGACUGCGGCUUCGGCCUAGGAUGUUGGCAUAAUGAUCUUAAGUCGCCC
rnacentral:rRNA from 1 species